UGUUUUCAAGGGAAUGUAUUAAUGCAAAGUUCUGACUUGGCAGAUGACUCAACUGGCAUUUUCAGAUAACAAUGUUCCUUGGAUUAACACCAUUUUCCACUGCCAUCAUGUGCCUCAAUUCACUUCCCUUGUUACAUCUUUGUGUGUUCAUCCAUAUUAAUGGGUUGUGAGAGGCAGUGUAAAGUAUGGAUACUCAAUCUAAAUCGUAGCAAGGUCAGAUGGGUUUCUUGUUUUGAUUCUUUCAUUCGUUACCUCCAGUCUCUCAAAAUCUAUAGGAUAGCAGUCAAUUGUGUUGCUGGAGGUAACGAAUGAAAGAAUCAAAAC
rnacentral:misc_RNA from 1 species